rnacentral:tmRNA from 1 species
GGGGAUGUCAUGGUUUCGACAGGAUGAUGUUGGAUCUGGAUUGCAGUGGAAUGGUUACCUAAUAACCAACAAAAAAAUAACUGGAAACAGUAAUUACAGCCGUUUAGGCUUCGCUGCUUAAUACACUUAAUUAAUUAGUGUGCAGUCGCCCCUAUAUACUUGGUCAUUGGGUGUAUACGGGCGUCAAAAACAAUGACUAAGC